AUUCUAGAAGUUAAAAAGAUUGUCAAACAGCUAAUUUCAUUUUCUCCUAAUAUUCCUUAAGAUUAAAUGAUAAUAUUCCUUAUGAUAAGUAGGAAGGCAGUGGAGUUUGAUGAUAAUCCUGCAGAAGCUUUCCAAGCAUCUGCAAGAUUAUCAUCGGGGUCCACUGUCUUCCUACUUAUCACUUUAUUUUAUACUUUUUUUCACUUAUGCUCUUGGUAUAUUAUGUACCAUGUCCAAGUUGGGAUUUCUCUUCAUCUAACAACCAGAAGAUUCUCUUUAUCAACUGCUCAAAAUAGUUUUUCCGCUAUUCCAGUAUUUCCUAUUUGGCACUCUAUCAUCCUUACCGUUAACCGUUAUUGCUUGAUAUAAAUUUUUACAAUUUCGCUCUCUUUUUUUUUAGCUGUUCUAUUCAGAAUAAUCAAAUAGAGAAAGAAAUUGUAAAGAUGUACAUCAAACAAUUUUGAAAACUUCUUUGAUCCUAC
rnacentral:lncRNA from 1 species